rnacentral:rRNA from 1 species
AUUGAACGCUGGCGGCAUGCUUUACACAUGCAAGUCGAACGGCAGCGCGGGCUUCGGCCUUGCGGCGAGUGGCGAACGGGUGAGUAAUGCAUCGGAACGUGCCCAGUAGUGGGGGAUAGCCCGGCGAAAGCCGGAUUAAUACCGCAUACGACCUGAGGGUGAAAGCGGGGGACCGAAAGGCCUCGCGCUAUUGGAGCGGCCGAUGUCGGAUUAGCUAGUUGGUGGGGUAAAGGCUUACCAAGGCGACGAUCCGUAGCUGGUCUGAGAGGACGACCAGCCACACUGGGACUGAGACACGGCCCAGACUCCUACGGGAGGCAGCAGUGGGGAAUUUUGGACAAUGGGGGCAACCCUGAUCCAGCCAUGCCGCGUGCGAGAAGAAGGCCUUCGGGUUGUAAACCGCUUUUGUUCGGGAAGAAAUCCUCUGGGCUAAUACCCCGGGGGGAUGACGGUACCGGAAGAAUAAGCACCGGCUAACUACGUG